rnacentral:rRNA from 1 species
CGGGGUGCAGCAGGCGCGAAAACUUUGCAAUGCGGGAAACCGUGACAAGGGAACUCUGAGUGCCCGUAAAAUCGGGCUGUCCAUCGGUUUAAAUAACCGGUGAAGAAAGGGCCGGGCAAGACCGGUGCCAGCCGCCGCGGUAAUACCGGCGGCUCGAGUGGUGGCCACUAUUACUGGGCUUAAAGCGUUCGUAGCUGGUCUGUUAAGUCUCUGGGGAAAUCUUCCGGCUUAACCGGAAGGCGUCUCAGGGAUACUGGCAGACUAGGGACCGGGAGAGGUGAGAGGUACUCCAGGGGUAGGAGUGAAAUCCUGUAAUCCUUGGGGGACCACCUGUGGCGAAGGCGUCUCACCAGAACGGCUCCGACAGUGAGGGACGAAAGCUGGGGGAGCAAACCGGAUUAGAUACCCGGGUAGUCCCAGCUGUAAACGAUGCGCGUUAGGUGUAUCGGUGACCACGAGUCACCGAGGUGCCGAAGAGAAAUCGUGAAACGUGCCGCCUGGGAAGUACGGUCGCAAGGCUGAAACUUAAAGGAAUUGGCGGGGGAGCACAAGGGCGAAUCGCG